GUCUGUUUAAUAUUAUUCAAUUAUUAUUAUUAUUAUUAUUAUUAUUAUAUUUAUUUAUUAGAAAAGCAUAGCAGUAUUAUUGUUGAUAUAUAAACAAGGGAGAUUAUUGUAAAAAAAAAUAGUACAGGCAUAUUCGUAAUAAAUAAUAGUAAUAUAAUGCGUGUAUAAUUAGGGAAUUAUUCUGUGUCCGCCUAUGCAAGCCACUGAAUGCAUGGUAUUUACUAAUUUUUUUUUUUUCUUUUCUCUUAUUUAGAAUAAAAUCCCCUAACACAACUCUUCAAAUUAUGUCCAUCGGUCUCACUCGGGCAGAAUUUAAUUCCACAUUCCUUUUAAAUGUACUUAUAAACUAUUUAUUUUGGAUUGAUUUGGGUUAUUUUGUACAUAUAAGGGCUACUGCCUUACCUUUCAUAUUGAAUUAGUUAAUGACUCUAGAAUGGAAAGGUGAUGAUCCUGUAAUCUAAGCAUAAGACCAACAAGGGUAGAGGCUGAAAUAAUAA
rnacentral:lncRNA from 1 species